CGACUUUACAUGCACGAAAGUGUGAUAGGGGAAUCCAAAGUGCUCAUGCUCUGCAUGGGCUUUUGCCAAGAGAAAACAUCUUGGCGAAUAAGUGGUGGGAAAGACUGGUGCCAGCCGCCGCGGUAACACCAGCGCCACAAGUGGGGAUCCUUUUUAUUUGGCCUAAAGCGUCCGUAGCUGGUUAUAUGAAUCUCUUGUGAAAUUGUUUUGCUUAACAAAACAGCGUGCAGGAGACACUGUGUGACUUGGGACUGGGAGAGGUCGGAGGUACUCCAGGGGUAGGGGUGAAAUCCUGUAAUCCUUGGGGGACCACCAGUGGCGAAGGCGUCCGACUAGAACGGAUCCGACGGUGAGGGACGAAGCCGUGGGGCACAAACCGGAUUAGAUACCCGGGUAGUCCUGGCUGUAAACGAUGCAUACUAGGUGAUGGCACGGCCAUGAGCCAUGUCAGUGCCGUAGGGAAACCGUUAAGUGUGCCGCCUGGGAAGUACGGUCGCAAGGCUAAAACUUAAAGGAAUUGGCGGGGGAGCACAAGCCGAAU
rnacentral:rRNA from 1 species